GACGAACGCUGGCGGCGUGCUUAACACAUGCAAGUCGAACGGAAAGGCCCUGCUUUUGUGGGGUGCUCGAGUGGCGAACGGGUGAGUAACACGUGAGUAACCUGCCCUUGACUUUGGGAUAACUUCAGGAAACUGGGGCUACUACCGGAUAGGAGCUCCUGCUGCAUGGUGGGGGUUGGAAAGUUUCGGCGGUUGGGGCUGGACUCGCGGCUUAUCAGCUUGUUGGUGGGGUAGUGGCUUACCAAGGCUUUGACGGGUAGCCGGCCUGAGAGGGUGACCGGCCACAUUGGGACUGCGAUACGGCCCAGACUCCUACGGGAGGCAGCAGUGGGGAAUAUUGCGCAAUGGGCGGAAGCCUGAUGCAGCAGCGCCGCGUGCGUGAUGACGGCCUUCGGGUUGUAAACCGCUUUCGCCUGUGACGAAGCGUGAGUGACGGUAAUGGGUAAAGAAGGACCGGCUAACUACGUG
rnacentral:rRNA from 1 species